UGAAUACGAGAUGCUACGGCGUCGAAGCAGUCUAUGUCAUACUUCCAAGAAAAGCUCGCACUGUCAUAAACAAAUAAUGCCUGUACCAUAACCGACACAGGUGGGUAGGUAGAGUAUACUAAGGGGCGCGAGAUAACUCUCUCUAAGGAACUCGGCAAAAUGACUCCGUAACUUCGGGAGAAGGAGUGCCUUAUUUAUAAGGUUGCAAUAACAAGAUCCAAGCAACUGUUUAUCAAAAACACAGGUCUCCGCUAAGUCGUAAGACGAUGUAUGGGGGCUGACGCCUGCCCAGUGCCAGAAGGUUAAAGAAGUUGGUUAGCAUUCGCGAAGCUGAUAACUGAAGCCCUGGUGAACGGCGGCCGUAACGAUAACGGUCCUAAGGUAGCGAAAUUCCUUGUCGGGUAAGUUCCGACCCGCACGAAAGGCGUAAUGAUUUGGAUACUGUCUCGGAGAGGGGCUCGGUGAAAUAGACUUGUCUGUGAAGAUGCGGACUACCUGCACCAGGACAGAAAGACCCUAUGAAGCUUUACUGUAACUUGAGAUUGAAAUUGGACUUUACUUGCGCAGUAUAGGUGGGAGGCGUUGAUAAUAUUCUUGCGGGAUUAUUUGAGCCAUCAGUGAGAUACCACUCUUGUAAUGUUAGAUUUCUAACUUUGUAUCAUUAUCUGGUCAAAGGACAGUUUCAGGCGGGCAGUUUGACUGGGGCGGUCGCCUCCUAAACGGUAACGGAGGCGCACAAAGGUUUCCUCUGAACGGGUAGAAAUCGUAUCUAGAGUGUAAAGGCAUAAGGAAGCUUGACUGUGAGACCUACAAGUCGAGCAGGGACGAAAGUCGGUCUUAGUGAUCUGACGGUGCUGAGUGGAAAGGCCGUCACUCAACGGAUAAAAGUUACUCUAAGGAUAACAGGCUGAUCUCCCCCAAGAGUUCACAUCGGCGGGGAGGUUUGGCACCUCGAUGUCGGCUCAUCGCAUCCUGGGGCGGUAGUACGUCCCAAGGGUUGGGCUGUUCGCCCAAGAAGGCGGUACGCGAGCUGGGUUCAGAACGUCGUGAGACAGUUCGGUCCAUAUCCGGUGUAGGCGUUAGAAUAUUGAGAGGAGCCUUCUUUAGUACGAGAGGACCGAGAAGGACAUACCUCUGGUGUACCAGUUAUCGUGCCAACGGUAAACGCUGGGUAGCUAUGUAUGGAGUGGAUAACCGCUGAAAGCAUCUAAGUGGGAAGCCCACCUCAAGAUAAGUAUUCUC
rnacentral:rRNA from 1 species